CGCAGAAAGGUAUAUCGGUGGAAAUCUAGCGCAAGAUCUGGUAAGUGUGUCAACUUUUGCCAAUUUCUUUGCCUCUUGUCUCGCUUUAUACAACCAACAUGUAUAAUUUAAUUGGACAUAGUUAUCAAAACAUUCACGAGCCAAUUGAAUGUCCUCAAAUGAGAAAUAGCACUACAUAAAGACGAAAACAUUACAUAUUGAAAAAAAUGACAUAUGGAAAAAAUGACAAAUAAAUAAAUAAAUCAUACCAGAAAUUUGACGAAAAUAUUUUCCUUUUCCUCUUCUUUCCAAGAAGUCCAUUUAGUUAAAGGUGACGUUAUAUUACCUUUUACUAAUAUUCCUAUUUGACUUCUUACAUUGUUUGUAAAAGUCCUAUAAAAAACAAUCAAAUUAAAUAAUAAAUUAUAAUGAA
rnacentral:lncRNA from 1 species